rnacentral:lncRNA from 1 species
ACCUUUCUGGGUUUAUGCAGUUUACUGACUGGCUGUGAAAGUUUUGAAGAGGCCCUUGAAAUGGCAUCCAAAGGCGACAGCACCCAAGCUGACAAACUGGUCCGUGAUAUUUAUGGAGGAGAUUAUGAAAGAUUUGGUCUACCAGGUUGGACUGUCGCGUCUAGUUUUGGAAAUAUGAUUUAUAAGGAGAAGCGAGAAUCUGUUAGUAAAGAAGAUCUGGCAAGAGCUACUUUAGUUACUAUCACCAAUAAUAUUGGCUCUGUGGCACGAAUGUGUGCUGUUAAUGAGAAAAUAAACAGAGUUGUCUUUGUUGGAAACUUUUUACGUGUCAAUACUCUGUCAAUGAAACUUUUGGCAUAUGCACUGGAUUAUUGGUCCAAAGGUCAAUUGAAAGCAUUGUUUCUAGAACAUGAGGGAUACU